GUGACCUCAAAUCAGGUAGGACUACCCGCUGAACUUAAGCAUAUCAAUAAGCGGAGGAAAAGAAACUAACAAGAUUCCCCUAGUAACUGCGAGUGAAGCGGGAAAAGCUCAAAUUUAAAAUCUGGCAGUCUCUGGCUGUCCGAGUUGUAAUCUAGAGAAGUGUUAUCCGCGCUGGACCGUGUACAAGUCUCCUGGAAUGGAGCGUCAUAGAGGGUGAGAAUCCCGUCUUUGACAGGACUGCCAGGGCUUUGUGAUGCGCUC
rnacentral:rRNA from 1 species